UGCGAUACUGUGAGGUGGAGCUAAUCCCAAAAAGCCGGUCUCAGUUCGGAUUGGGGUCUGCAACUCGACCCCAUGAAGUCGGAGUCGCUAGUAAUCGCAGAUCAGCAACGCUGCGGUGAAUACGUUCCCGGGCCUUGUACACACCGCCCGUCAAGUCACGAAAGUCGGUAACACCCGAAGCCGGUGGCCUAACCGUUGUGGGGGAGCCGUCGAAGGUGGGACUGGUGAUUAGGACUAAGUCGUAACAAGGUAGCCGUACC
rnacentral:rRNA from 14 species